AUUGAACGCUGGCGGCAGGCCUAACACAUGCAAGUCGAGCGAGCGGCGGACGGGUGAGUAAUGUAUGGGGAUCUGCCCGAUAGAGGGGGAUAACUACUGGAAACGGUGGCUAAUACCGCAUACCAUAAGCUGAACCCAUAUGGGAUUCGCUAGUAGGUGAGGUAACGGCUUACCUAGGCGACGAUCCCUAGCUGGUCUGAGAGGAUGAUCAGCCAAACUGGACCUGAGACACGGUCCAGACUCCGACGGGAGGCAGCAGUGGGGAAUAUUUCACAAUGGGCGCAAGCCUGAUGCAGCCAUGCCGCGUGUAUGAAGAAGGCCUUCGGGUUGUAAAGUACUUUCAUUCGGGAGGCGUUACCUACAGAAGAAGCACCGGCUAACUCCGUGCCAGCAGCCGCGGUAAUUC
rnacentral:rRNA from 1 species